CAGCUUUGAACUGGUUUUGUCUGCUGAGCUGAUCGUGAAUGAUCAACUCUUCCAAACUAUUUUAUUAUUAAAACAAAACAAAAAUGCUGAUGUCACGUCAAAGGAGAGAGAGAGAGACCUGAUGAAACAGCUGGCUGAAGAAAACAAACCACCAACUAAAGAAGAGGAGACAACAGCAGCAUGGAGAAGAUGACCUGCAGGAUCCUGCUGCUCAUCAUCCUCACCUCAUGUGUCUCUGGAUCAUUUGUAGUCAAUGUGACACAGACCUGCUAUCAGGCAGAGGAGAACCACAACAUCACACUGGAGUGGACGUUCACCACCAAACCUGACAGAUCCACCAAAACUCUCAACAUCCUCUGUGAACUCUUCAUCAGUGAUAAAGUCUCAGUCCUGUAUCAUGUUCAUGAAGGUGUUGAGGUGUCAGAGUCUCAGGAUGCAAAGUUUUCAGGACGAGUCCAGAGUGACAAAGACGCCCUCAGAGAAGGACGAAUCAGACUUCAACUGUCCAGACUCAGGACUGAUGACUCGGGUCUGUACCUGUGUGAGGUCAACACUGAUUAUGGCUUCAGUGUUGGAAGAUGUCGACUCAACGUUACUGCAGCUGCUGCUGAGACCAAACAUCAAACUCCAACAAUGAACCCACAGACAGAGAGUCGAGGAAGCAUCUGUUGUGGGUUUCUGGGUGACAUGUACACCUAUGUACCUAUAUAUCUAUCUGCACUGAAGAUAUAUACUGUAAUCUUCAUGUAGACUCUAAAGAACAAGAUGUUUUGCCUUCACCAGGGUUUAGGUGGCACAGUAAAAGGGCAGUUAAUGCUGGGGAGAGUUCUCCUGCACUCUUAGAAGGGAUGUGUUAAAAUUGACACAUCAUGUGUUAAAUUUUAACACAUGUGCUGCAUCAGAUUAGGGACAACACAUGAUGUGUCAGUUUUAACACAAUUAAUGUGUCUGCUCCUUUAACACAUCUUCUGUGUUAAAAAAUGUAAACACAAAGAUGUGUUAUUUUGACACAAAGAUGUGUUAAAAUGUGUACAUUUCAAUUUUUUUUAAAAAAGGAGAAAAAAGAUGGGUAUAUAUUAUACAUUUAUUGAAUUCCAUUUUUUUAUUUGGCAUAUUAUAAAUCAUUACAAAAUGAAUGAACAACAGCUGUCAGAAUCUUUUCAAUUAAAAUGUUUUAAAUUCAAUUUUAGCCAAAGCUAUAUCACAAUUUUUACUUUACAAAAUCAAACAAAAUUCAUAUCUGACUAGCUUUCUAUCUCUCU
ensembl:lncRNA